GACGAACGCUGGCGGCGUGCCUAAUACAUGCAAGUUGAGCGCUGAAGGUUGGUCCUUGUACCAACUGGAUGAGCAGCGAACGGGUGAGUAACGCGUGGGGAAUCUGCCUUUGAGCGGGGGACAACUUUUGGAAACGAAUGCUAAUACCGCAUAAAAACUUUAAACACAAGUUUUAAGGUUGAAAGAUGCAAUUGCAUCACUCAAAGAUGAUCCCGCGUUGUAUUAGCUAGUUGGUGAGGUAGAGGCUCACCAAGGCGAUGAUACAUAGCCGACCUGAGAGGGGGGUCGGCCCCAUUGGGAAUGAGACACAGCCCAAACACCCACGGGAGGCAGAGGAAGGGAAACUCCGGCGAAGGGCGCAAGUCUGACCGAGAAACGCCGCGUGAGUGAAGAAAGUUUUCGGAUCGUGAAAAUCUGUUGGUAGAGAAGAACGUUAGUGAGAGUGGAAAGCUCAUCAAGUGACGGUAACUACCCAGAAAGGGACGGCUAACUACGUG
rnacentral:rRNA from 1 species